GGUUCCAGUCAAGCCUUACACAUGCAGUCGAGCGGAUGAGGGAGCUUGCUCCUGGAUUCAGCGGCGGACGGGUGAGUAAUGCCUAGGAAUCUGCCUGGUAGUGGGGGAUAACGUCCGGAAACGGGCGCUAAUACCGCAUACGUCCUGAGGGAGAAAGUGGGGGAUCUUCGGACCUCACGCUAUCAGAUGAGCCUAGGUCGGAUUAGCUAGUUGGUGGGGUAAAGGCCUACCAAGGCGACGAUCCGUAACUGGUCUGAGAGGAUGAUCAGUCACACUGGAACUGAGACACGGUCCAGACUCCUACGGGAGGCAGCAGUGGGGAAUAUUGGACAAUGGGCGAAAGCCUGAUCCAGCCAUGCCGCGUGUGUGAAGAAGGUCUUCGGAUUGUAAAGCACUUUAAGUUGGGAGGAAGGGCAGUAAGUUAAUACCUUGGUGUUUUGA
rnacentral:rRNA from 1 species